UUCUCAUUAGGAUAUCAUGUU
ensembl:piRNA 21ur-12948 ncRNA